UACGAAGGGUGCAAGCGUUACUCGGAAUUACUGGGCGUAAAGGGCGCGUAGGCGGCCUGCUAAGUCGAACGUGAAAUCCCCGGGCUCAACCCGGGAACUGCGUCCGAUACUGGCAGGCUUGAAUUCGGGAGAGGGAUGUGGAAUUCCAGGUGUAGCGGUGAAAUGCGUAGAUAUCGGGAGGAACACCAGUGGCGAAGGCGACUACCUGGCCUGUUUCUUGACGCUGAGGCGCGAAAGCUAGGGGAGCAAACGGG
rnacentral:rRNA from 1 species